rnacentral:siRNA from 1 species
UUUGAAGUGUGGCCAAUAACGC